CGAACGGGUGAGUAAUACAUAAGUAACCUGCCCUAGACAGGGGGAUAACUAUUGGAAACGAUAGCUAAGACCNCAUAGGUACGGACACUGCAUGGUGACCGUAUUAAAAGUGCCUCAAAGCACUGGUAGAGGAUGGACUUAUGGCGCAUUAGCUGGUUGGCGGGGUAACGGCCCACCAAGGCGACGAUGCGUAGCCGACCUGAGAGGGUGACCGGCCACACUGGGACUGAGACACGGCCCAGACUCCUACGGGAGGCAGCAUG
rnacentral:rRNA from 1 species